UUCAGAUUGCAGGCUGCAACUCGCCCGCCAUGAGGUCGGAAUUGCUAGUAAUCGUAGGUCAGCAUACUACGGUGAAUACGUUCCCGGGCCUUGUACACACCGCCCGUCAAACCAUGAGAGUUGGCAACACCCGAAGUCGGUAGUCUAACCGCAAGGAGGACGCCGCCGAAGGUGGGGUUGAUGAUUAGGGUUAAGUCGUAACAAGGUAAC
rnacentral:rRNA from 1 species